GCUCGAUCGUCGUUGCUCCAUACUCGGUGCCACCUCUACGUUCAGGUUCACUCACCCUCGUCAUCCGUUCUGGGCUCAUCCUCCGGACCUCUCCUCUUCGGGCUUCCCCCACGGCGUCCUCCCAGUUCUCCCCUGCAUCCUCCCUUCCUUGGCCCCAGUGUUCCCCGGCUCCCCGGUCCCAGUCCAGUUGGUUUCCCUGUGCUAGUGUUUCCCCGGCAUCCUCCUCUCCCUCCACUCCAGUCCCUCAACCCCCUUUUUCCCUAAAUAAACCUCCGUCGCUCA